rnacentral:rRNA from 1 species
CGACUGUUUACCAAAAACAUAGCUUCUAGAAAUAAUUAGAAGUAAAAUCCUGCCCGGUGAAAGCAAUUUUAAACGGCCACAAUCGUGCUAAGGUAGCGUAAUCAGUUGUCCUUUUACUGAGGACUAGUAUGAAAGGAAAAACGAGGCUCAACUGUCUCUAUUAAAAAAAUAGAAAUUAGUUUUUAGAUGAAAAAAUCUAAAUAAAAUUAAAGGACGAAAAGACCCUAUAGAGUUUAAAUAUAAUUAUACUAUUCACAAAUUAAACAAAGCGAAUAGAAUAAAUAUUUUAAUUGGGGCAACAUAGGAACAAGAAAUUUCCUUAUAGUAAACAUUUAAUAUCAUAAAAAUGAAAAUCCUCAAAGAGAUAAAGAAAAACUACCUUAGGGAUAACAGCGUAAUUUUUCUAAAGAGACCUAAUCGAAAGAAAAGUUUGCGACCUCGAUGUUGGACUAAGGCAUCAAAAUGGUGAAGAAACUAUUAAAAGUAGGCCUGUUCGGCCUAAUAGCCUUACAUGAUUUG